ACGACGUGACUAAUGAUAUCCAAGAGCUUGAACUCUAGUUUCGAAAGACGUCACAGUUCUAAAUGAUAUUUCUGACGCUACUAAAAAAAGAUGAUCUGUUCCACACUAACACCAGACACAAUCACACAAAGACAUCUGUUCCACACUAACACCAGACACAAUCACACAAAGACAACCUAAGCAGACUGGUAGAAAUAACUGCCCGAACAAAUCCUCAAGCCACGUGACCAAUGGAAUGGAUUGCAUUGGAAAAUUUAGUAAAGCUUUUGACCU
rnacentral:lncRNA from 1 species